CAAAUUACCUGGCAGGGGAGAUACCAUGAUCACGAAAGUGGUUUUCCCAGGGCGAGGCUUAUCAACUGCAUAAUUUGUGGUAGUGGGGUACUGCAUUCACGAUUUUGCCUGAAGAAAGAAUGAAAAAAUUUUUUAAAGUAGAAAAUAUAAGCCAGUAGAAAAAAUUAGCCAUGUGUGGAGGUGCAUACUUGCAGUCCCAGC
rnacentral:snRNA from 13 species